GAACGCUGGCGGCGUGCUUAACACAUGCAAGUCGAGCGGAAAGGCCCUUCGGGGUACUCGAGCGGCGAACGGGUGAGUAACACGUGAGCAACCUGCCCUAGGCUUUGGGAUAACCCCGGGAAACCGGGGCUAAUACCGAAUAGGACUUCUGACCGCAUGGUUGGUGGUGGAAAGUUUUUCGGCCUGGGAUGGGCUCGCGGCCUAUCAGCUUGUUGGUGGGGUGAUGGCCUACCAAGGCGACGACGGGUAGCCGGCCUGAGAGGGCGACCGGCCACACUGGGACUGAGACACGGCCCAGACUCCUACGGGAGGCAGCAGUGGGGAAUAUUGCACAAUGGGCGGAAGCCUGAUGCAGCGACGCCGCGUGAGGGAUGACGGCCUUCGGGUUGUAAACCUCUUUCAGCAGGGACGAAGCGUAAGUGACGGUACCUGCAGAAGAAGCGCCGGCCAACUACGUGCCAGCAGCCGCGGUAAGACGUAGGGCGCGAGCGUUGUCCGGAUUUAUUGGGCGUAAAGAGCUCGUAGGCGGC
rnacentral:rRNA from 1 species